rnacentral:tRNA from 1 species
GCUGCCUUAAUUUAAGAAAAAUACUGAUUUGUGACAUCAGAAACGAGACCCGCCUCUCAGGGAGCC